AAUGCAUGAUGAGGGCAUUUUCUAAGCAUCUCCUUGUAUCUUUCCAUGCUUUAUAAAGGGAGUCUCCCUCCUUAUGAGUGAAUGUGUGAAUGUCAUUCCUCAAUUU